rnacentral:rRNA from 1 species
AGAGUUUGAUCCUGGCUCAGGAUGAACGCUGGCGGCAUGCCUAACACAUGCAAGUCGAACGGGGUUUAUAUAACAGAACUCUCCGGAGGGAAGAUAUAUAAACCUAGUGGCGGACGGGUGAGUAACGCGUGGGCAACCUGCCCUGUACCGGGGGACAACAGCCAGAAAUGGCUGCUAAUACCGCAUAAGCCUGCGGUGCCGCAUGGCACAGCAGGGAAAACCACGGUGGUACAGGAUGGGCCCGCGUCUGAUUAGUUAGUUGGCAGGGUAACGGCCUACCAAGACGAUGAUCAGUAGCCGGCUUGAGAGAGUGGACGGCCACAUUGGGACUGAGACACGGCCCAGACUCCUGCGGGAGGCAGCAGUGGGGAAUAUUGCACAAUGGGGGGAACCCUGAUGCAGCAAUGCCGCGUGGGUGAAGAAGCACUCCGGUGCGUAAAGCCCUGUCAGCAGGGAAGAAAAUGACAGUACCUGACCAAGAAGCCCCGGCUAACUACGUGCCAGCAGCCGCGGUAAUACGUAGGGGGCAAGCGUUAUCCGGAUUUACUGGGUGUAAAGGGAGCGCAGGCGGUAUGGCAAGUCAGAUGUGAAAACCCAGGGCCCAACCCUGGGACUGCAUUUGAAACUGCCAUACUGGAGUGCCGGAGAGGUAAGUGGAAUUCCUAGUGUAGCGGUGAAAUGCGUAGAUAUUAGGAGGAGCACCAGUGGCGAAGGCGGCUUACUGGACGGUAACUGACGCUGAGGCUCGAAAGCGUGGGGAGCAAACAGGAUUAGAUACCCCUGUAGUCCACGCUGUAAACG